CAAAAUUCCAAACCAAAAUGUGUCCUUAGAUUUGAAUUCCGGAGCAGCCUGGAGCAGGCCCAAGCAUCAGUAUCAGUCCAUCACAUCGGUGGGCUCAGAGCACAGUUGCCAUGGGCAGUGUUAGUCCGCUCUCGCCUCCAGUCCCAACAGCCAGUCUUUCCAAAUAUUCUGCAGCCACACCCAGAUGGGAGAACACCUAAUUUCCACACAUCAUGCGGGAGCAGCUGAGCCAAGUUAUUGUGGCAUUUUCAUUUAGUAACCUAAAAUAAAGGGAUAAUGUAAAGACACGAGGGUCUCAUUUUACACUCAGCACAACUUACUACAAUCACAGGUCCCUGCCUUUGGGGAAUCAAAGCUUUAAAGAUAUUCACAAAUCAACCUUUUCAUCGACGUCUACAUCCAAGACUGUGGUUUCAUAGCCAACCGUUCCAUCUACUCAAAAUGUUCUGUUGGCUGAAUUUGUUUGAUUUCAGUUGAAAAUGUUACAAUUGCAAUUGGAACACAGAACACAGAACAGAGCCACACAGGGUGUUCAGCCCAUGAUGUCUGUGCUGAAUAUGAUGCCAAAUUAAAUAAAGAUAUUGAACACAGAACACUGCAGCACAGAAACAGCUCUUUUGGGUCAUCUGGUCCAUACACAACCAUUAAUCUGUCUAGUCCUAUUGAAUUGAGCCCAGACCAUAGCCCUCUACACCCCUCCCAUCCAUGCAUCUAUCCAAAUUUUUCUUAAGUGUUGAAAUCAAUGUGGCAUUCAGCUCAUUCAACACUCUCACCACCCCGAGUGAAUAAAUUCUGCCUUAGGUUCCGCUUAAAUAUUUCACCUUUCACCUUUAACUGAUAACCUCUAGGUAUAACCUGUUUAUACCUGGAAUAAUUUUGUACACCACUUUGAACCACCCCCCAACCUUUUACCCUCUAGGCAAUAAAAUAAUAGCCAAUUUAAUGUUUCUUUAUAAUUCAGGUCCUCAAGCACCCUAAAUCUCUCAUCAAGGCCUCUUCACCUAGCCUAUCCUACCAAUAUGUACAUAGAACAUAGAAUAGUACAGCACAUUUCAGGCCCUUCAACCCACAAUGUUGUGCUGACCCUCAAACCCUGCCUCCCAUAUAACCCCCUACCUUAAAUUCCUCUAUAUACCCGUCUAGUAGUCUCCUAAAUUUCACUAGUGUAUCUGCCUCCACCACUGACUCAGGCAGUGCAUUCCAUGCACCAACCACUCUCUGAGUGAAAAACCUUCCUCUAAUAUCCCCCUUGAACUUCCCUCCCCUUACCUUAAAGCCAUGUCCUCUUGUACUGAGCAGUGGUGCCCUGGGGAAGAGGCGCUGGCUGUUCACUCUGUCUAUUCCUCUUAAUAUCUUGUACCAAGACAGCUGGCUGCUCACUGUCUAGAAUGUUGUGGCCUGAUCUGAGACAUCCAUAACCUGGCACCUGGGAGGUAACAUACCAUCUAAGUGUUUCUAUCGUAUUCACAGAAUCUCAUCUCUAUUCCUUUCCCUAGUGCCAGACAGAGGCUGUAAGGAGAGAGUUAAUUGAGUUUUCUCCAUGGUAUAUGCUAAAAUAAAAUGCAAGUCUGUUAAAGAAAGUGCUGUGAGCUGGGAGUGGGUCUGUUUUGAAGAAGUACAAGAGAAUCCUGGAUUCAUACAUGGAGCUAAGAAAAAUAGAGGGCUAUGGGUAAGCCUAGGUAGUUGUAAGGUAACAACAUGUUUGGCACAGCUUUGUGGGCUGAAGGGCCUGUAUUGUGCCAUAGUGUGGUGAAUUACAUAUACCUGUCUGGACACGCCCCCUGCUGACUGCUCCUGUGGUUCCUCCCAUAGACCCCUGUGUAAAGGCGAUUGAGGCCUGAGCCCGGCCUCCAGGAUGUAGUAUGGUGGUCACUCACUGCUUGUUCCUUCUUCCAGUCAAUAAAAGCUGAUAUCUUGCCUUUACAUCUCAGAGUGAGUUAUUGAUGGUGCAUCACAUAGGUUUUCUGUAUUUAUGUUUCUAGAAUCAGUCCAUUGCAAAGUGUAGAGAAGCUUCAGAGUCUCUGCAGGUCCAUUGCCAGAGCAGUAGAAGAUGGUUAAGUAGAUAUUUUUUUGACAGGAAGGCGAGGUCAUUGUUCAGAUGGAGGUACAGGUACCAAAUGCAUGGAAAAAUACCAGUGUAAGCGGUCUUGAAGGGUAUAAAAAGGGCACCUUCUUGGUGCUAGAGGAGAGAGUUCUGUCCUAGGCUUGGUCACAGCAGCUGACCCUAGUAAUAAUAUAGAGAACAGCACGUAGAGAGAGUCAGAGUAUGUCAAAUUGGAGGGAGGGAGGGAGGGAGGGAGGGAGAGAGAGAGAGAGAGAGAGAGAGAGAGAGAGAGAGAGAGAGAGAGAGAGAGAGAGAGAGAGAGACUUUAUGGAAGCAUUUCACAGAUCAGCUUGUUCAGUGAAUGAUAAGUAUUAUUCUGAUUUCUGUACUGCUACUACUACAGACAUUUGCUUUUUUUCUUUCUGUAUUGCAUUUGUGCUUGUUCUAAUAAAGUGUUUUCUUGUGGACUUGAA